CAGGCAAAAACAUUCCUCUUCUCCCAUGCCUUAAUUAAACAAUUAAGGCAUGGGAGAAGAGGAAUGUUUUUGCCUG